ACACAGGUUUUUUUCAAAACCAUUUAUUCUUUCUUUUUUUUCCUGU
rfam:Buceros rhinoceros silvestris contig83750, whole genome shotgun sequence.